rnacentral:rRNA from 1 species
AUGGCCCAAGCUUGGGCCUUCCUCCUCCCGGUCCUCGUCCUCGGCUCCUACGUAACCAGCCUCUUCUUCCCCAGCUAUAUAUCCAACCCCCUCUGCGGCGGCGAUGGGGGCAGAUCCUUGUUCCUCUGCGCGCAGGCUCCCAAGGACCAGGACCCGUCUCCUGCUGUCAGCACCAUGUACAAGACCGCCUUCCACUUCCAGCCCGCCAAGAACUGGAUGAACGAUCCAUCUGGACCAAUGUACUUCAAUGGCAUCUACCAUGAAUUCUACCAGUAUAAUCUCAACGGUCCCAUUUUUGGUGACAUAGUUUGGGGCCAUUCGGUUUCAACAGACCUUGUCAACUGGAUCGGGCUUGAACCCGCGUUAGUACGGGAUACCCCAAGUGACAUAGACGGUUGCUGGACCGGCUCAGUCACCAUUCUGCCUGGUGGUAAACCGAUCAUCAUAUACACUGGUGGCGACAUAGAUCAACAUCAGGCACAAAACAUCGCGUUUCCCAAAAACCGGUCUGACCCGUACCUGAGGGAAUGGAUCAAAGCACCCAAUAACCCGGUGCUCCGACCGGACGAACCAGGGAUGAACUCCAUCGAGUUCAGGGAUCCGACAACCGGUUGGAUCGGACCGGACGGACUGUGGAGGAUGGCAGUUGGUGGUGAGCUGAACGGCUACAGUGCUGCGCUUUUGUACAAGAGUGAAGACUUUCUGAAUUGGACAAAAGUUGAUCACCCACUGUAUUCACAUAAUGGAUCCAAUAUGUGGGAGUGUCCGGAUUUCUUUGCGGUAUUGCCGGGCAAUAACGCUGGACUGGAUCUGUCCGCAGCGAUCCCACAAGGCGCCAAGCAUGCCCUCAAAAUGAGCGUGGAUUCAGUUGACAAGUACAUGAUCGGGGUGUAUGAUCUCCAACGUGAUGCCUUUGUGCCAGAUAAUGUCGUAGAUGACCGUCGGUUGUGGCUGAGAAUAGAUUAUGGCACUUUCUAUGCUUCAAAAUCAUUCUUUGACUCGAACAAGAACAGGAGGAUCAUAUGGGGUUGGUCUAGGGAGACAGAUAGUCCUUCAGAUGACCUUGAAAAAGGUUGGGCAGGACUCCAUACAAUCCCCAGGACCAUUUGGUUAGCCGGCGAUGGCAAGCAGUUGUUACAAUGGCCAGUUGAGGAGAUUGAGUCCCUUCGAACAAAUGAAAUCAGCCAUCAAGGAAUAGAGCUCAACAAGGGAGAUCUAUUUGAGAUCAAGGAAGUUGACGCUUUUCAGGCUGAUGUAGAGAUAGAUUUUGAGCUGGCGUCCAUCGAUGACGCCGAUCCUUUUGAUCCUUCCUGGCUUUUGGACCCCGAGAAGCAUUGUGGAGAAGCGGGUGCAUCAGUUCCUGGUGGUAUAGGUCCAUUUGGACUUGUCAUUCUGGCCUCCGACAACAUGGACGAGCACACUGAGGUGUAUUUCAGAGUCUACAAGUCACAGGAAAAGUACAUGGUACUCAUGUGCUCUGAUCUAAGAAGGUCUUCCCUGAGACCAGAUCUGGAGAAACCAGCCUAUGGAGGCUUCUUUGAAUUUGAUCUUGAAAAGGAAAGGAAGAUAUCACUCAGAACUCUGAUUGACCGGUCGGCAGUGGAGAGCUUCGGUGGCGGUGGCAGGGUUUGCAUCACAUCCAGAGUUUAUCCGGCGGUGCUCGCCGACGUCGGCAGGGCCCACAUUUACGCAUUCAACAAUGGAAGUGCCACGGUCAGGGUGCCACAGCUCAGCGCAUGGACCAUGAGGAAGGCACAAGUGAAUGUGGAGAAGGGUUGGAGUGCUAUUUAA